GUCAUUCUGUAUAAGUAAGUCGAAGAGUAUACACGUUGCUUUUAUUUCUCGAGCUCCGAAAAUUACAACAGUUGGCGACGAGUCGGGUGAAGCAAGGAGCACUAGCGCUACGAGCCGAUCUUGCCGAAGCUUCUGGCGAACGGUGGCGUAGGAUUGUGGAUUCGAUCUCCUAUCCAUGCGAGGAGAGUGUAUUAGUGGGAGUUACAACUCGGGCUGUUUUGCUGCAACGACCGCAGUGCAAAUAUUUUCUUCUACGUGCUGCUGAAGUUAGAGAAGGUUAUGUUGCUUGCUGAUUGACGAAAGUGAACUUGCUACUGGUGUUUGAAGUUUUUCUGCUGCUGUGUGUGUGUUACGAAGUUUCUAAGAUGGCGAAUUCCGAUGACGAUGAUACUGUCGCGGUAGGUGUACCACCGACCUUCGUAUUUGAGCCAUAUGAGAAGCAAAAAUCGAAGUGGUCUCGAUGGGUGAAGCAAACAUUCCGCAUGGUAGUUAAGGGCGCCAACAAAGGACUUAAAAACCACUAUGGUGCAAAUGGUUCAUGAGACGUUCACUCAAAAUAGCAAUAAAUGUGUUUCUUAAGAGAUAUAAAGUUCGGAGUUUAAACUAGCAUGAAGAAUAAUUUACAAAGCAAUCGUUCAUGCCAGAAAAUCAAAAAUCAUGGUUUUGGUUUAUAAGCCGUCAUCAUAUGUUACGCGAGAUAUUGCAGUUUGCUUUGCCUUCCCGCAUAAUUAAAAACGAUCUGCAGGACUGUAGAUACAAUUAACUCGAAUCAAGCUAUAUUGUUACAGUUUGGAUUACCGUCGACUUGCAGUCCGACUUUUAAUUAAUCUUGAAAUAGCACUAUACAACAUGUUUGAUCUACGCUACCAUAUGAGAUGAACAUACGGCUUAUUGUUUGCUUAUAAUGUUUUGCAUUCCACGUCUGAUUGAUUUAUGAGAAACAAUUAUAAAAACUAAUAUCGACUAAUAAGAGUAAUAGUAACGACAUGGAAUACGGUUAUGAGAUAUACAUGUAUCAUCUCAACAGCUCAUAGUGUUUCAUCAUGAUAUCACACACACGCAUCAAUCAAAUUAUCCCAUGCUAAAUAUAUGAUAAGUGUUGUGGUUGAGGAAUGAGUGUGCGUAUUUAUCAUUUGCAUUUUUUCUCAAGCAUCCAGCCAUGUUUGAUUCGCAGUGACAAACACUGGUUUCGUUAGACCAGAUUGUUUUACUUGAUUUGUUUGUGCUCAGUUUUUAUUUAAUGAAGUUUCCAUGCAUGCGUAAAACUUGAAGAUUAACCAUCUAUGGAAAUAAGAGAUGCAUGCUCGGUGUGCCGUCUUUGCAAUAAUGUUGGCCAUGGCUGAUUUAAUAGCGACAUUAAUUCUUCUGGAAAUUUGUUUGGCUUGCGGCGGUCCCGGCGGUCCGGCAGGCUAUAUAGCUGCACACUAAAAAAAUUCUACCAAGUACUUAUGCUAACAAAUGUUAAUUACUUUUUCAAUAUCCAUUAGUUUUUAAAUAUAAAAGUAAUAUUUAUGUUCUUUAAAUAAAAUAUGAAACGAAAUUAAA